CUACGGGUGGCUCCAGUGGGGAAUAUUGGACAAUGGGGGAAACCCUGAUCCAGCAAUGCCGCGUGUGUGAAGAAGGCCUGCGGGUUGUAAAGCACUUUCGGUUGGGAGGACUGCUUCUAGCACUAAUAUUGUUGGAAGUUGACGUUACCUUCAGAAGAAGCACCGGCUAACUCCGUGCCAGCAGCCGCGGUAAUACGGAGGGUGCAAGCGGUUAAUCGGAAUUACUGGGCGUAAAGCGCGCGUAGGCGGCUAGAUCAGUCGGGUGUGAAAGCCCCGGGCUUAACCUGGGAACUGCAUCCGAUACUGUCUAGUGUGAGUACAGGAGAGGAGAGUGGAAUUCCACAUGUCGCGGUGAAAUGCGUAGAUAUGUGGAGGAACACCAAUGGCGAAGGCAGCUCUCUGGCCUGAUACUAACGCUGAGGUGCGAAAGCGUGGGGAGCAAACAGGAUUAGAUACCCUAGUAGUC
rnacentral:rRNA from 1 species